rnacentral:rRNA from 1 species
GACAGAGGGUGCAAACGUUGUUCGGAAUUACUGGGCAUAAAGAGCACGUAGGUGGUGCGCUAAGUCACGUGUGAAAUCCCCCGGCUCAACCGGGGAAUGGCGCGUGAUACUGGCGGACUCGAGGCGGGUAGGGGUGAGCGGAACUCCAGGUGGAGCGGUGAAAUGCGUAGAUAUCGGGAAGAACAUCGGUGGCGAAAGCGCUCUACUGGACGGUAUCUGACACUGAGGGACGAAAGCUAGGGGAGCGAAUGGG